rnacentral:lncRNA from 1 species
GCUGAACAAUAAGCAGUUCGUACGGUUUCUAUCUAAAUUUAAAGUUAAAUGUUUAAACUUUAAAAGUUUUUAUUAUUUAAAAUGUAAAGCAAGUUAUUCGAUGCAUAUAAAGCUUUAGAAUUUAAAAAGAUUAGGAUUCAACAAAAUUCUAUAUAAAAUCAUAUACCCAAAAUAUACAAACUGAAUUAAACUAAAAUAUAUUUUUUAAAAUUUAAAUUUUCAAAUUGUAAAUUUUAAAUUUCAGAAUUUAAACAAAAGAGAGUUAGAAAUUUAAAUUUUAAAUAAAUUAUAUAAAUUUUCUGCCGCGAAGCGCGAGCCUACACUAGUAUGUAUUAGAGCUCGAUCGGAUAUAGAUUUCACUCUAGGUAGAUAUGGUAGAGCAAAAAGCUGACUAGACCCUAAGUGUAUGUGUUAGGACUAGUCGAGCUUGGUUUGACUUUCACUCUAGGUAUAUGUGCUAGAGCAAAAGGUUGAUUAGACUCUAAGGUAUCGUUUGGUUCGGGGAUAAGCAAAAAGUGGUUAUUUUAGGGAUAUGUAUAAAUUGAGGUAUAAGCGGGGAUUAGAUCAAUUUUGCGUUUGGAUGAAAAUUGAGUUAUUCCUGAGAAUAAAAAAAAUAGCGUUUGGUUAGGUAAGAUGGAAUAAGAAGGAUAGUGGGUAGUUAUAAAUAAAAAAUAAUGAUAUUACCCUCUCAUUAUAUUUGAAUUUUAAAUUUUAAAUUUUAAAUUUAUGUUUUUAAUUUAAAUUUUUAACUUUUAAAUUUCAAAAUUUUAAAUGAAAAUUUAAAUUUUAAAUUUCAAACUUUAAAUUUAAGAUCAAAUGUAAAUUUGAAAAAUAUAAAAUUUUAAAUUUUAAAUUUUAAAAAAUUUAAAAUAUCAAAAUUUAAAUUUAAAAUUUAAAAUUUGGAAUUUAGAAUUAUGAACUUUAAUUUUGAGAUUACAAAUUUUAAAUUUUAAAAAUUUAAAUUUUAAAUUUAAAUAUUUAUAU